rnacentral:lncRNA from 1 species
GGGCUGGCGGGGCUGGCGGGGCUGGCGGGGCUGGCGGCCUGGCCCACUCCCAGGCUGACAGGACAUCCAACCCUCUGGCUAUGGCAUCUUGGAGGAACAGGCAGGCCUUGAAAAUAGCAGAAAUUCCGAAUUCCCCUGCCCCGGGAGGACUCAAAGGACCCUGCUGAGGACAGAGCUGAUAUGGCCUCAGAAUAAAGAUGAGGGAAGACCAUCCCAAGGAAGACCCCUCUAGCCCAUGGCAAAAGGGCUGGAAUACGCAAGGAUUUGAAAAGCAAGUUUUGCUUUCCAUAUAAACCUAAGCAAGUCGCUUAAUCUGUGAGCCUCAACUACUUUACUUGUGCAAUGGGCAUGUUGCUGGUAGUGGUGAUAGCAGGGAGCCACCGAGAGAGCUUCCAAGUGUGCCAUCUAAGCCCUCCUCUGGGGAAGGGAAGCUCCUCUGGGGAAGGGAAACUGGACCCCCGGGAAAAUUUAUUCUCCCAGGGACGAACAUCCAGACAUUUCCCUGUAGGAGCCUCAGUGUGUUCAGAUGUUCACUGUCCAGUAGAAACAAGACAUCUAGGCAACUCUCCCAUCUCACCAAGCCUCUGCUCUCUUCUGUGGCCACUGUGGGGUUGUGAGAGUAAUGUCAAGACCCAACCCAAUUAGAACACAGGGAAUUUUGCCUGGGAAAGGGAGCCCUUCUACCCUACACCCCUGCUUUCUCUCUUCCAAGGAUCAGGUCUGAUUCAUGUCUGCAUCCUAAAGGCUACAAAUAAACUGUGUCCG